CACUCCUGCGGGAGGCAGCAGUGGGGAAUUUUGGACAAUGGGCGAAAGCCUGAUCCAGCAAUGCCGCGUGUGUGAAGAAGGCCUUCGGGUUGUAAAGCACUUUUGUCCGGAAAGAAAUCCUUGGCUCUAAUACAGUCGGGGGAUGACGGUACCGGAAGAAUAAGCACCGGCUAACUACGUGCCAGCAGCCGCGGUAAUACGUAGGGUGCGAGCGUUAAUCGGAAUUACUGGGCGUAAAGCGUGCGCAGGCGGUUUGCUAAGACCGAUGUGAAAUCCCCGGGCUCAACCUGGGAACUGCAUUGGUGACUGGCAGGCUAGAGUAUGGCAGAGGGGGGUAGAAUUCCACGUGUAGCAGUGAAAUGCGUAGAGAUGUGGAGGAAUACCGAUGGCGAAGGCAGCCCCCUGGGCCAAUACUGACGCUCAUGCACGAAAGCGUGGGGAGCAAACAGGAUUAGAAACCCGUGUAGUCCCAU
rnacentral:rRNA from 1 species